rnacentral:rRNA from 1 species
CCGGGUGAGUAACACGUGACUAACCUACCUUCGAGUGGGGGAUAACCUAGGGAAACCUGGGCUAAUACCGCAUAACAUCUUUGGAUCGGAAGAACUGGAGAUCAAAGGAGCAAUUCGCUUGAAGAGGGGGUCGCGGCUGAUUAGCUAGUUGGCGGGGUAAUGGCCCACCAAGGCUUUGAUCGGUAGCCGGCCUGAGAGGGCGCACGGCCACACUGGAACUGAAACACGGUCCAGACUCCUACGGGAGGCAGCAGUGGGGAAUUUUGCGCAAUGGGGGAAACCCUGACGCAGCAACGCCGCGUGGAGGAUGAAGUCCCUUGGGACGUAAACUCCUUUCGACCGGGACGAUUAUGACGGUACCGGUGGAAGAAGCCCCGGCUAACUUCGUGCCAGCAGCCGCGG